rnacentral:rRNA from 1 species
AAUAUUGGUCAAUGGAGGCAACUCUGAACCAGCCAUGCCGCGUGCAGGAUGACGGUCCUAUGGAUUGUAAACUGCUUUUGUACAGGAAGAAAAAGAGUUACGUGAAGCUUAUCGACGGUACUGGAAGAAUAAGGAUCGGCUAACUCCGUGCCAGCCGCCGCGGUAAUACGGAGGAUCCAUGCGUUAUCCGGAAUCAUUGGGUUUAAAGGGUCCGUAGGCGGCCUUAUAAGUCAGCGGUGAAAGUUUUUGGCUUAACCAAAAAAUUGCCGUUGAUACUGUAGGGCUUGAAUUUUUGCGAAGUAACUAGAAUAUGUAGUGGAGCGGUGAAAUGCUUAGAUAUUACAUGGAGUACCGAUUGCGAAGGCAGGUUACUAACAAACGAUUGACGCUGAUAGACGAAAGCGUGGGUAGCGAACAG